rnacentral:sRNA from 1 species
AAAAACCGUAAAAAAAAAAAAACUAAAAAAAAA